rnacentral:rRNA from 1 species
GAUGAACGCUGGCGGCGUGCCUAAUACAUGCCAGUCGAGCGAACAGACGCGGAGCUUGCUCCUCUGACGUUAGCGGCGGACGGGUGAGUAACACGUGGAUAACCUACCUAUAAGACUGGGAUAACUUCGGGAAACCGGAGCUAAUACCGGAUAAUAUAUUGAACCGCAUGGUUCAAUAGUGAAAGACGGUUUUGCUGUCACUUAUAGCUGGAUCUCCGCCGCAUUAGAUAGUUGUUAAGGUAACGGCUUUCCAAGGCGACGAGGCGUAGCCGACGUGGGGGAGUGAUAGCCCACACGGGAGCUGAGACGCGGACCUGACGCCUACGGGAGGGAGCAGUAGGGAAUGUUCCGCAGUGGGCGGAAACCUGACGGAGCAACGCCGCGUGAGUGAUAAAGGUCUUCGGAUCGUAAAACUCUGUUAUUAGGGAAGAACAGAUGUGUAAGUAACUAUGCACGUCUUGACGGUACCGGAUCAGAAAGCCACGGCUAACUACGUG